UGGAGUGCAUCUAUACAGUGAAGU
rnacentral:piRNA from 1 species